rnacentral:rRNA from 1 species
AUUGAACGCUGGCGGCAGGCUUAACACAUGCAAGUCGAGCGGGGGAAGGUAGCUUGCUACCGGACCUAGCGGCGGACGGGUGAGUAAUGCUUAGGAAUCUGCCUAUUAGUGGGGGACAACAUCUCGAAGGGAUGCUAAUACCGCAUACGUCCUACGGGAGAAAGCAGGGGAUCUUCGGACCUUGCGCUAAUAGAUGAGCCUAAGUCGGAUUAGCUAGUUGGUGGGGUAAAGGCCUACCAAGGCGACGAUCUGUAGCGGGUCUGAGAGGGUGAUCCGCCACACUGGGACUGAGACACGGCCCAGACUCCUACGGGAGGCAGCAGUGGGGAAUAUUGGACAAUGGGGGGAACCCUGAUCCAGCCAUGCCGCGUGUGUGAAGAAGGCCUUAUGGUUGUAAAGCACUUUAAGCGAGGAGGAGGCUACUCUAGUUAAUACCUAGGGAUAGUGGACGUUACUCGCAGAAUAAGCACCGGCUAACUCUGUGCCAGCCGCCGCGGUAA